UAGAUGAAAGUGGUUAUGCAUGUGGUGUGUAGGGUUCAUUAUUUUACUUUUCUCUUCUGCUGUCUUUCCCCUGCUGUUUUUAUUAAUUAUUUUGUCGCUGUUCUCCAUUCAGUAGGUUUGAAGGAAUUCUAAUUGUUGAGAUUAUGUUUCUUUAAAGGCUCACUUAGCCCACCUUUUGGAUGAAGGAAAAAAGACAAGAUUCUCUAAGAAGAGUAAAAAGUACACUUUAAAUAGGCAUUCAGAAAUGUCUGCUGAUGCCAUGCCAUUACCAUGUAAUCAGCAGAAAUGUGUUGGUGAAACACCCAUCAGUGACUUCACAAAAAAGCCACAGUCAGACAGACAACCUACACCUUUUUCAGAAGCAUUGGGAAAUGUAGAUGCAAGUUCAGCUGAGAAAGUCAGAGGCCUGCCUGAUGUAGUUGGUAAAACUGGUUUCUCUUAAUGUCAUCUAUUUUAAUUUGCAUUCACAGGAGACAUGGUACAUGUAACAGUUUUAGCUGAACAAGGUAUGAAAUUGUGCUGGUUUGAAAGAAAAUCAGCAGGAGAAAUUAACCCCACACAAAUACCUUGUGAGAGAUUUUGGAGUUACAAUUUUGUGAGAGAUUUUUGAGUUACAAUUUAAUAGAAAGAUUACAGUAAAUGCAAUGAUACAGAAAAACAUUUAAAACACAAAGGCAGAGUACAGCCUGGCACCCUUGUGGUCAGGGUUGCAGUGGUUGCAGUCCUGCCAGAAGCAGUGGUCUUGUGAAAGUUUGGGUCCUCCUCUGGAUGUCCAGUGGUGGUGGUGGUGUCCCAAGUGCCCAACUGCCCAGAUUAUAUACAUGGGGUUCAGGUGGUACAUCCCCCAGGGCAGGGAGGUUCACAAUGGAAUGAUAGAAUCCCUUGAAUCUAGAAUAUUUCUGGAGUCCUUCAUCAGCUGUCCAUUCUGCUAGUACAUAUUCAGUUCAUUAUGGCCCAUUGGCAGACAUGACCCUCACUGGAUGGGUGGUGCUGCUGCUUCCCCAGCUGAAGGAAGGAUAAAGAAACACUAUCUCACCCUGCAGGGUCUGCUUCUUCUCAUUUUAACAUCCAGCUUUUAUCCUGGGGGGUCAGGUAUGCACUGAAAAUGAUCUAUCAUUAACAGCUCAUCACAAAAUGAGGUAGAGGGGAGUAAAAUACAGUUU
rnacentral:lncRNA from 1 species